rnacentral:rRNA from 2 species
UGGGGAAUAUUGGACAAUGGGCGCAAGCCUGAUCCAGCCAUGCCGCGUGAGUGAUGAAGGCCCUAGGGUUGUAAAGCUCUUUCACCGGUGAAGAUAAUGACGGUAACCGGAGAAGAAGCCCCGGCUAACUUCGUGCCAGCAGCCGCGGUAAUACGAAGGGGGCUAGCGUUGUUCGGAUUUACUGGGCGUAAAGCGCACGUAGGCGGACUUUUAAGUCAGGGGUGAAAUCCCGGGGCUCAACCCCGGAACUGCCUUUGAUACUGGAAGUCUUGAGUAUGGUAGAGGUGAGUGGAAUUCCGAGUGUAGAGGUGAAAUUCGUAGAUAUUCGGAGGAACACCAGUGGCGAAGGCGGCUCACUGGACCAUUACUGACGCUGAGGCGCGAAAGCGUGGGGAGCAAACAGG